GACGAACGCUGGCGGCGUGCCUAAUACAUGCAAGUCGAACGCAGUGGGGACGGGUGAGUAACACGUGGGUAACCUCCCAUCAGAGGGGAUAACACUUGGAAACAGGUGCUAAACCGAUACUGAUGGAUGGACCCGCGGUGCAUUAGCUAGUUGGUGGGGUAACGGAUCACCAAGGCCACGAUGCAUAGCCGGUAGGAGAGGGGGAUCGGCCAAACUGGGACUGAGAAACGGACGAGACUCCUACGGGAGGCAGCAGUAGGGAAUCUUCGGCAAUGGACGAAAGUCUGACCGAGCAAGGCGGCGUGAGUGAAGAAGGUUUUCGGAUAGUAAAACGCUGUUGUUAGAGAAGCGGUAUCUAGCCAGAAAGCGACGGCUAACUACGUGCCAGCAGCCGCGGUAAUUC
rnacentral:rRNA from 1 species